rnacentral:lncRNA from 10 species
GUUAAGGUCAAUGGGAAACUACAACAAUCCAGGCAGGACUAAAAAUGGCCCAGACUCUUCAGGAAUGAAGAUUUGGGACACUCCAUCAGACCACUCUGGCCCGCCACACCCUUAUCCUGUGCCUAUAUAAACCCUAAACUCCAUGAGCAGAGGAACAGAAGAGCAUAAGAGUGGCAGAGUGGCAGAGCGGCACAGCGGCGUGGCAGAGAGGGAGCAUCUGAAUGUCAAGAGGAGUUCAGCUGGGGAUGGUCAGAGAGAUCAGCUGCGGGAUGGCCAAACUCCAGGUAGUUUUAGAUGAAGACACUCAAGGGAUAUAAAUAUCUCCAUAUUCUGAAAAGUAUUCAAGAAGAAAUGCUUCAUCAUGGCUUGCGGGCUGUAAUUCUUAGUCCCAUCUUCAUUCUAAGUUUCUCUCUGGAGGAUUUAAUUCAGCCUCACUAACAAUCAAAGAAAAUAAUUAAUAUUCAUGUAAAACACCAUUGUUUCCUUCUAUCAGAUCAUAAAAUGUUAUAAAGAGUAGUUGUUUUAAGAUUGUAUACAUGCAGCAACUUCUUAUCCUUCCAAAGAAGUUAGGACAGAUUUGUGAGAAAGAAAGCAAAUUGGAAAUAAACAUCAAAAGCUAAGAGUUUCUGUUCUUUGAUAUGGUAAUUUUACUUCUACAAAUCAGGCCUAAAAUAAUCCAAUUACUAAAAUUAUUAUCUAUUUGGAUUUGAAUAUGAUGAAAAAAUUAAAAUUAUUUGUCUAACUACAUAAUCUUUUCUGUAGUAUUUUUGCAGAAAGUAUUUCAAAACCAACAUCAAUAAGGGGAAUCGCUUAAUCCUGAAGGUCUUGUGAGAAGACAUGGCGAGAAGUGGAGUCAAGAACACACCACGGUGGCAGAGAAAGGAAAAGAGCAGGAUAAAUAGCUUUGUAAACCUACUACACAGAGAAGGUUGCCUUGAUGAUUCUCAUCAAAGCUAUUAGAAAAUUUAUUUUAAACAUAAAAAUUGUCAGAAGAUACUGUUCCACACACUGCAGGUCUAAUAGUCACUACCCAAAUGUAAGAUAAUUAAAAGGAAUGAUUUGUUGCAUUCUAUUUAACAAUAUAAGUUACCAGUGAGAACUAGUGACAAGAUGAUAGCCUCGCCAUGUCCAGAUUCAAACUCCUGGCAUAUCUGCCACUCACAGGAAAUGCAACUUUACUCCUGUUGCUUUUACUUCUGCUAAUGAGACCAUUAUCCUCCUAGAUAUCUGACUUUUCAACCUCAAAAGUGUGUUUAAAUUCCUCUCUCUUUUUUCCCUUCAAAAUCUCAUUAGUCAUGAUGAGUUGUAGACUUACUACUUCUAAAAUAUCUCUGAUAUUUUAGAUAUCUCUGAUAUCCCUUCUGUUUUAUUCUCACUGCCACUUCAUUCGUUUAAAUCCUAUUACCUUAUCUGGACUAUUCCUGUAACUUCUAAAUUGGCCUAUUUGCUUCCAGGCUGUCUCUGCCCAAGCCAAACCACAUACCGUUGCCAUAGGAACCUUCCUAAGGAACAGCUCUAAUCACUUUAUUCUCUGAUCAAACGCUUUCAGUGGGCUCUGCUUUGCCUACAGGAUAGCUCAGCAUAACAUACCAGAUUAUCCAAAAAUUGUUUUCAAACUCUUCCACUAAACCUUCCUAUUCACCAUCACCUGUCAUCACCUGGAACUUGCCAUUGGUCUAACAAUCAUAGCCAGCAUCUUGAGAUUUUUUGUUUUCCAUGACGCAUAUCCAUAGGUAACAAUAAUGAUUCCCUCUUAAAUUGCCAUAGGAUUUGCUUCUGAAUAUUGCUGCACUUUAUGUGUUCUAGCUUGCAUUACAAACACACACACACACAUACACAUAUAAUAUAGCAUAUAUGCAUACACACACACACAUAUAUAUAUUUAUGUAAAUUUCUGUUAUGUUCUUCAUCAUUAGCUUUCAAAGUUUUGUUCAAGGGAACCCUAGGAUCUAGUCAGAUGCAAGAAGGAUUACUAUAAGAGCACACAGAGGCCUGGAGAGGACCGAUGAUAGCAUGGCUCUUAACCUCCCAUAAUCUCCCUCCACCAAAAUAGCUCUUAUUUUAUUAUUAUUAUUAUUUUUAAAUAAAGUAUCAUCUGGAAUUCAAUUUUAUUUUUAAUGGCUUUUUAAAAUUUGUGGAUGUUGUCUUCCAAGUUUAAGAGGUUUCCUACACGCACCUUCUAGAUACCCAUACUGACUAGAGAUCCGAAACAGAAUAUCUCAGGAUACUCCAAAAUCGAAUUUCACCAUGAAAGAACUAUCUUCCCCAAUAUCUUCAGAUCAAGCAUCCAAGUAGACAUGGUGGCCUCUUCCCAAGACUUUUUGAUCAUGGCACCCAUACUACAAGCCUCUGAUUAUGACAGCCAUUUUUGUCUUUUUCUCUUCUUUACAUUGUCAUCUCUUCCCCUCUCUCUUCCUCUAAAAUUUUCCAUUGCUAAAAUGAUGUUUUAAAGUUUCUUCUCCCAAUCUCUGUUCUCUAAGCAGAUCAAGACAGUGAACACAACUCUAUGGAUUUCAAGCCAGCCUUAUCAAUAAACUCCAGAAGGGAUAGGAUUUAUUCUCCUAGAUGAUCCCAGAUGGGGCAGGAUUUUGUCUAAGAAGCAUCAUUCCAAAUCUUCUGAUAAUUCUUAUGUUAAUGAAACUGCCUUCGCAAAAUUAUGACUGAGACAGUGAAAGAGAUUUAACUUGAUCGACACUAUCUUGCUUCUAACUUACAAGCUGUUCUUGUUUAUUCCUCUGCGUAGGCUGAACUAACUUUGGGAGAAACUCAGUUUAUAGUUUAAAGUUUAAAACAAAGAUGAUAACAGCCCUUUCCCAAAGCAGGCCUUUUUCUUGCCUGGGGACUAGGUUGCCUUUGCAGGACUAAUAUUAGCCAAAAGAUUAGAAAUUAUGGUUUAGGAGUCAUGCAGCUGGAGGCUACAAGAUUCUGACCCUCUCUAAACUACUCCUAAGGUGAGUGCUUGAGAUAGUUUGAAGAUCCUGCACUUGAUGGAUCAGCUGGCACCACCCAGUUGGAUUAACUGGCUCGUCUGAUCUUGCGGCCCCUACCCAGGAACUGACUCAGCACAAGAAGACAGCUUUGACUCUCUAUGAUUUUGUCUCUGACCAAUCAGUGCUCCUGGCUCACUGGCCUCCCCCAACCCAUCAAGUUGUCCUUGAAAACUUUGUUCCCCAAAUGCUUGGGGAGACUGAUUUGAGUAAUAAUAAAACUCUGUUCUCCUGCACAGCCAGAUCUAUGUGAAUUACUCUUUCUCUACUGCAAUUCCCCUGUCUUGAGAAAUUGGCUCUGUCUAGGCAGCAGGCAAGAUGAACCCACUGGGUGGUUACAUUAACUCUUGUUUUUUCCAUAGUUGACUGUACUUUCUCUGGAUUCAUAAAUGCUUCAGAACAACUACUAACUCAACAAAUGAUUGAAGUUUAACUACAAAGACAAAAGUCACAAGAAGUCCUGAUGGAAGUGCUCAGAAAAC